AGUGAACGCUGGCGGUAGGCCUAACACAUGCAAGUCGAACGGCAGCACAGUAAGAGCUUGCUCUUACGGGUGGCGAGUGGCGGACGGGUGAGGAAUACAUCGGAAUCUACUUUUUCGUGGGGGAUAACGUAGGGAAACUUACGCUAAUACCGCAUACGACCUACGGGUGAAAGCAGAGGAUCUUCAGACCUUGCGCGACUGAAUGAGCCGGUGUCGGAUUAGCUAGUUGGCGGGGUAAAGGCCCACCAAGGCGACGAUCCGUAGCAGGUCUGAGAGGAUGAUCAGCCACACUGGAACUGAGACACGGUCCAGACUCCUACGGGAGGCAGCAGUAGGGAAUAUUCGACAAUGGGCGAAAGCCUGAUCCAGCCACGCCGCGUGAGUGAUGAAGGCCUUCGGGUUGUAAAGCUCUUUUAUUGGGAAAGAAAAGCAGUAUGUUAAUACCCCGCUGUUCUGACGGUACCCAAAGAAUAAGCACCGGCUAACUUCGUG
rnacentral:rRNA from 1 species